rnacentral:rRNA from 1 species
GGUGAACGCUGGCGGUAGGCCUAACACAUGCAAGUCGAACGGCAGCACAGUAAGAGCUUGCUCUUACGGGUGGCGAGUGGCGGACGGGUGAGGCAUACAUCGGAAUCUACUUUUUCGUGGGGGAUAACGUAGGGAAACUUACGCUAAUACCGCAUACGACCUACGGGUGAAAGCAGGGGAUCUUCGGACCUUGCGCGAUUGAAUGAGCCGAUGUCGGAUUAGCUAGUUGGCGGGGUAAAGGCCCACCAAGGCGACGAUCCGUAGCUGGUCUGAGAGGAUGAUCAGCCACACUGGAACUGAGACACGGUCCAGACUCCUACGGGAGGCAGCAGUGGGGAAUAUUGGACAAUGGGCGCAAGCCUGAUCCAGCCAUACCGCGUGGGUGAAGAAGGCCUUCGGGUUGUAAAGCCCUUUUGUUGGGAAAGAAAAGCAGCAGGUUAAUACCCCGCUGUUCUGACGGUACCCAAAGAGUAAGCACCGGCUAACUUCGUG